rnacentral:rRNA from 1 species
CCGGCGAAUCGCCUGAAUGUCAUGCAGUUCGAGCGGACAGAAGGGAGCUUGCUCCCGGAUGUUAGCGGCGGACGGGUGAGUAACACGUGGGUAACCUGCCUGUAAGACUGGGAUAACUCCGGGAAACCGGAGCUAAUACCGGAUAGUUCCUUGAACCGCAUGGUUCAAGGAUGAAAGACGGUUUCGGCUGUCACUUACAGAUGGACCCGCGGCGCAUUAGCUAGUUGGUGAGGUAACGGCUCACCAAGGCGACGAUGCGUAGCCGACCUGAGAGGGUGAUCGGCCACACUGGGACUGAGACACGGCCCAGACUCCUACGGGAGGCAGCAGUAGGGAAUCUUCCGCAAUGGACGAAAGUCUGACGGAGCAACGCCGCGUGAGUGAUGAAGGUUUUCGGAUCGUAAAGCUCUGUUGUUAGGGAAGAACAAGUGCAAGAGUAACUGCUUGCACCUUGACGGUACCUAACCAGAAAGCCACGGCUAACUACGUGCCAGCAGCCGCGGUAAUACGUAGGUGGCAAGCGUUGUCCGGAAUUAUUGGGCGUAAAGGGCUCGCAGGCGGUUUCUUAAGUCUGAUGUGAAAGCCCCCGGCUCAACCGGGGAGGGUCAUUGGAAACUGGGAAACUUGAGUGCAGAAGAGGAGAGUGGAAUUCCACGUGUAGCGGUGAAAUGCGUAGAGAUGUGGAGGAACACCAGUGGCGAAGGCGACUCUCUGGUCUGUAACUGACGCUGAGGAGCGAAAGCGUGGGGAGCGAACAGGAUUAGAUACCCUGGUAGUCCACGCCGUAAACGAUGAGUGCUAAGUGUUAGGGGGUUUCCGCCCCUUAGUGCUGCAGCUAACGCAUUAAGCACUCCGCCCGGGGAGUACGGUCGCAAGACUGAAACUCAAAGGAAUUGACGGGGGCCCGCACAAGCGGUGGAGCAUGUGGUUUAAUUCGAAGCAACGCGAAGAACCUUACCAGGUCUUGACAUCCUCUGACAACCCUAGAGAUAGGGCUUUCCCUUCGGGGACAGAGUGACAGGUGGUGCAUGGUUGUCGUCAGCUCGUGUCGUGAGAUGUUGGGUUAAAUCCCGCAACGAGAGCA